rnacentral:lncRNA from 1 species
UGUCAAUGUAAAAAAAAAAGCUAGAAACUCUCUUCUAUAAAAGGAGAUCAUGCUCCCACAAUAUUUCCUCAUGUCAUUUGUACUAAAUCAUUCACUAGUACUCACUAAAUGAGUGCUUGAACCUAUGUACUUGUGUAAACCCUUCACAAUUAAUGAGAACUCCUCUACUCCGUGGACAUAGCCAAUCUGGGUGAACCACGUACAUCUUGUGUUUGCUUCCCUGUCCAUAUCCAUUGACAUACUUAUCCACACUAGUGACCGGAGCAAUCUAGCGAAGGUCACAAACUUAACACUUUCUGUUGUACCAAAGUCCUCACUGAUUUUGUGCAUCAACAAGAUUAUUAAAAAAAAAAAAGGAGGUAAAACGCCAUUAUAGGUCUCUUGUGCCUAAUAAAACAAACAAUGAUACAAACCAAAUCAAAUAGUCUGGAAAGAAUAGGAAAAACCACCCUAAUUGAAUACAUUGAACAACAAAAUUACAUGAAAAAGCUAGCAUAUAAAAAAUAACACACAUUAACGAACGAAGAAAGGCUCACAUUGUUUACAAAAAAAGUCCUCGAGAUGCUUUGGUGCAUUGCGUAAUUUUUUGCUGCUUCAAAUCCUUGGUGAAUUAAUGGUUCCUCAUGAAACUACAAAUUCUUUUUUGUUGCUUCACAAUGUUUGCAAUCAAACUACAAAUUCUUUUUCAAAU